GCAUUGCUGGUUCAGUGGUAGAAUUCUCAUCUUCCAUGUGGAUGACCUGGGUUUGAUUCCUGGCCAAUGCA
rnacentral:tRNA from 1 species